CCCUACGGGGCGCAGCAGGCGCGAAAACUUUACAAUGCGGGCAACCGUGAUAAGGAAACCCCGAGUGCCACCACAGGGUGGCUGUCCACCAGUGUAAACAACUGGUGAAGAAAGGGCCGGGCAAGACCGGUGCCAGCCGCCGCGGUAAUACCGGCGGCUCGAGUGGUGGCCGCUUUUACUGGGCUUAAAGGGUCCGUAGCUUGAUUCAUGGGUCCCUUGAGAAAUCCAUCGGCUUAACUGAUGGGCGUUCAGGGGAAACUGUGUAUCUAGGGACCGGGAGAGGUGAGAGGUACUGCCGGGGUAGGAGUGAAAUCCUGUAAUCCA
rnacentral:rRNA from 1 species